AUACCUUUCUUGGCCUUUUGGCUAAGAUCAAGUGUAGUAUUUGUUCUAUAUCUGAUAUGUGGGCCAUGUGCCCACAAUGAUAUUAAAUUUAUUUUUUAUGAGGGAGGGACCACCACAAUGGCUUGCAAUUGGGUUAAUCAUGUGUUGCCUAGUGCGUUGCACUACUGCCUGGGCUGGCACACCCCAA
rfam:Triticum aestivum genome assembly, contig: Triticum_aestivum_CS42_TGACv1_scaffold_577315_7BL